UCAAAAGAAUCACCACAGCCCCCCUGCAAUCCAAGCAACUGCUGCUGAAUUGGCUGAUUUGUACAAGAUGCACCAUUUCUGAGGACUUCUGGCACAGUGGCCUGCACUGUUUAAAGUUCGCAAGAUCAGUGCUGAAUUGAAAAGAAUCCCCACAGUCCCACUGCAAUGGCCUGCACUGUUCCAAGUCCACAAGGUCAUGGAUGAAGUUGCCGUAGACGAAGCAAAUGAAGACAUCACUAUUGGAAUCUGCUCUGACAGAAGAUUGGGCAUCCCACCCUUAGGACAUUGUCAGUUUUAGUGUAUGUCUGUCACACACGUGACACCCAAUCGGAAAGGACUCUUUUUUUCAGCAACUAAAAAAC